UCUAAUUCGGACAGGGUGGGUUGGGGCCCAAUGUAACACACCAGAGAACUCCUGCGCGACCAAACCCUGCCAUAAUGGUGCUACCUGUACAGAUGUGCCGACCAACAACUACCAAUGUACCUGUUUAAAAGGGUGGACAGGAAAGACCUGCGAAACGUUCGCAUUGCCUCAAAAUGUGAGGACAACUAUUCUCACCUCCGCAACAACAGCUUCGAUUACGUCAUCGACUCCUACUACUCUUCUCUCAACGUUGUCAUCAACACAGAAACUAAACACGUCAUCAUCACAGGGACCAGUGAGUGUAACAACACCAAAAGGAUUGACGUCAUCAACAUCACAGUGGCCUAUGAAUGCAACAACACCAAAAGGAUUGACGUCAUCAACACAUCAACUCGGCACGUCAUCAUCACAAAGACCAGUCUUGUCAACAACACAAAAAGGAUCGAGGUCAACAACACAACGUGUCAUCAGUAGUAGUCAUAUUACGUCACAGCAUAGUACACCACACACAUCGGGUAUAGACAGUACAGCUGAUCCGUUAGCCACGCCCACUACAACGCACACCAUACCAAACAGCGCAUUCUGUCAGAUAGCUUUCAACCUUAUAAAUGGAACAAAUGUGACAAAGAUACAGCUGUCCGGUUUUGAUAAAAUGAGAUUGAGUGCCAGAAAUGUAGAAAGGACACUGACACAAAAUGUCAACCCAAG